UACAUAGGUUAACGAGGCGAACCGGGGGAACUGAAACAUCUAAGUACCCCGAGGAAAAGAAAUCAACCGAGAUUCCCCCAGUAGCGGCGAGCGAACGGGGAGCAGCCCAGAGUCUGAAUCAGCUUGUGUGUUAGUGGAACGGUCUGGAAAGUCCGACGGUACAGGGUGAUAGUCCCGUACACCAAAAUGCACAGGUUGUGAACUCGAAGAGUAGGGCGGGACACGUGGUAUCCUGUCUGAAUAUGGGGGGACCAUCCUCCAAGGCUAAAUACUCCUGACUGACCGAUAGUGAACCAGUACCGUGAGGGAAAGGCGAAAAGAACCCCGGCGAGGGGAGUGAAAAAGAACCUGAAACCGUGUACGUACAAGCAGUGGGAGCACCUUCGGGUGUGACUGCGUACCUUUUGUAUAAUGGGUCAGCGACUUACAUUCAGUGGCAAGCUUAACCGAUUAGGGAAGGCGUAGCGAAAGCGAGUCCGAAUAGGGCGUUCAGUCGCUGGGUGUAGACCCGAAACCAAGUGAUCUAUCCAUGGCCAGGUU
rnacentral:rRNA from 1 species